CCUCCCUGGGCAAUACUAUCGCGAGGGUUGAUUGGCUCCAGUAUUUGGAGCAAAGCUGCCCGACUUCUAAAAGUGACUGUGUGCUGAAAGAAACAGGUGGAGAUAUCCAAGAGGUAGCUGGAGCAAUUUACUGGUGUGCUGUUAUAUAGCUAAGCGGGAUAUUAAACACGUGGUGUUGCUGUUAGCAGCAGGAGAUUAGGGGAUGGUGCUGAGGCUUCAAUCCGUUCUGGUCCUCUCCCUGUCGGGAGUGUUGGCUUUCCUAGGCCUGUGGUGGUACACCUCUCGGAAGAAAGAACAACCCACUGACAAGGAUAAGACGACCACAAACCAGGCGCACCUGUCCUCCUCCAUUAGAGACCGAGGUAUUGGUGUUGUGGAGAACGGCCACUCCACUGGGACAGAUCGGGACAGGCACGCAGUGAGGAAGAGGUCGUUAGUGGAACAGGAGCGUGUUGAUUGUACAAACACACAAGCGGCAGCAAAGCUGGUUAACAUCCCACUCUGCCAAUCACAACCGGAGGAAAGGUUUGUGGCUGCAGAGUGUCUGAGUAGAGGCCUCGAUACUACUACUGUGAAGCACGUUACGGAGAGAACUGAGUCUUCAGCUCAAGUACUCCCAGAGACUGCACUUAAGAGCCAAGCCCAGGGGGGACCUGAGAAGGAUAUAGCAUUACAAAAUAAAAACCAGCCAUCCUCUGAUGAGGAACAAGUUUCUUCUAUCUUUGACCUAGGCUCUAAUCCUAACUCUGGUGAGAGUGCAGGCCUAAAGCCACAUGCACCGCCACUCUCUGAGACGCUGGAGGACACUACAAACAGAACUUUCAACAAAGAGGCUGCAGAGGAGGUUCGACUAGACCCAGGGGAGGUUAGACUGGACCCAGAGGGAGAGGUUGGAGAAGACAAGAUUACAUUUUGUUUUGCAGAGAUGAAGCCUCAAACCGAUCUGGCUGAGAACUGCCUCCUCUCCAAAGACAACCUAUCUAUCCUGCCUGCUGUGGAAGAACCAACCUGUGAGUCAAGUCUACAGGAUGACACCUGUCUGGAUUCCCCCAUCAACCUCCUUACCAGUCAGGUGUCCCCCUCAAGGCAGCCUUUGGGCAUUCUGAUAUCACCUCAGAAGAAAGACCAGUCUGAGGAGUGUGAACUUAGCAGGAGUAACACAGAGGAAAUUAACCAGCUGGCGUCAAGUCUGAUUACUGACGUGGUCUCAGUAGCAGUGAGUCAAGUCCUGAAGGAUAGGACCCUACUAGAACAUAAUGUUGGGCCUCUCUGUAACAGGGACCCCUUCACAUCCCCAGAUAUCAUCUCAGUGGGUAACAGUGAGACUGGGAGAGAGAUGCCUGGUCUAUUGCAGGAGGAUCAGUGUUCAAUAACUGGCAGGGAGAACAUAUGUUCAUCUCCUAUAGUCUUUGAGGAUGUGAAACAUGACUGCAGCAGUAGAACUGAGACUGAGCAGGCAGAACUAGCAGAAGAUUCUGCAGUAGGUGAUUCUGGCUCCAGCUUAGGUCAUUCUGAGGAGAGCUCCAGUGGCGAGGACUCUAGCCCCAGUGUGAGCCUGCAACCACCCAGGGGACCCGCUGAAGGACUGGGGGCCCCCAGCAUGGCCCUCCCUAAUGGUCACAGGACAGAGGUGGCUGUUCCAGGCUCUGGUGUGACCAGCAUGGACUCUGUAGACCGUUACGUUGAACACGAAGCCAGGGACAACCAGCAUAUCAACAGUCCAAGUCCGCUAAGUCAACUGCUGAACAGCGAUCAGCAAAUUGAAAAAUACAUCCAGAGUUACAACAGCAGCCAGCCACCGACUGUUUGGGACAUAGAGGUGCCAAAGCAUCUUGUUGGGAGAUUGAUUGGGAAGCAGGGGCGGUAUGUGAGCUACCUGAAGGAGACAUCCGGAGCAAACAUCUUCAUCGCCACCCUGCCUUACACCCAGGAGUUACAGAUCUGCCAUAUAGAGGGGUCAAAGGAGCAGGUGGAUUGUGCUCUGGAGCUGAUCAGUAAGAAGUUCAAAGAUCUGGAUGUGACCAGCUGUUAUGUCCAUCCUCCAGUGGCCAGACUGCCCUCUCUCCCCAUCACAUCCUGGCUGCUGCUUCCCCAUAGGGUGACAGUUGAGGUAACCGUGAUCCAAGUAGCCUCUGGGAACUAUGUGUUCCUCCAGCAGCACACACACCCAACCUUCUAUGCUCUCCGCAGCCUGGACCAACAGAUGAGCUUGUGUUAUUCUCAGCCAGGGUGCCCUCCCCUGCCGGCCCCAGUGGAAGGUAGGCAUGCACAGCCAGGGUGCCGGCCCCAGUGGAAGGUAGGCAUGCACAGCCAGGGUGCCGGCCCCAGUGGAAGGUAGGCAUGCACAGCCAGGGUGCCGGCCCCAGUGGAAGGUAGGCAUGCACAGCCAGGGUGCCGGCCCCAGUGGAAGGUAGGCAUGCACAGCCAGGGUGCCGGCCCCAGUGGAAGGUAGGCAUGCACAGCCAGGGUGCCGGCCCCAGUGGAAGGUAGGCAUGCACAGCCAGGGUGCCGGCCCCAGUGGAAGGUAGGCAUGCACAGCCAGGGUGCCCUCCCCUGCCGGCCCCAGUGGAAGUGGGAGUGAUCUGUGCUGCCCAGAUGCCUGAGGGAGCCUGGUGGAGAGCGCAGGUGAUGGGUUACUAUGAAGAAACCAAGGAGGUGGAGCUCUGCUAUGUGGACUAUGGAGGCUAUGUCCUGGUGAAGAUCGACACCCUCCGCCAGAUCAGAUCAGACUUUGUUGCCUUGCCUUUCCAAGGAUCUGAGGCGAUCCUGGAACAUAUUGCACCCCUUCCAGGAGAAGAAGGGUUCUCUGUUGCAGCCAAAUCUGCACUGGAGGAAAUGACACAAGGAUUGCCACUACUUGCACAGGUCACAAGCUGUCACACCAGUGGCAUUCCCUUGGUACAGAUAUGGAAAACUGAAGGAGAAGAGUUGGUGUCUGUGAACCGUGCUCUGGUGGAUAACGGACUGUGUAGCUGGGUAGACUGCCUCUGACUGUGAAGACAAAUCCUGUCCCUGUUUGGAUAGUUUUCAAAUGUAUCCUCCCUUUUUAAGCACAGAUCUAUAAAGGGAUUGGAUAUGUGUGAGUAAGGUUACCAGCCCUAUUACCCUCACCAAUCUACCAAAUUUUGAUCUGUGAUUACUUCAAGGAAAGUAGGAAGGAAAAUUGGAUCUCUGAAGUAUUCAAACAUGGCCCCUGCCUUGCCUUUCAUCGUUCCAUCCCCUCAGUCCCAUCCUCUGGACUGUUGCCCUGUUGGGGCACAACAAUGUCUUCCUUCUCAACUCGACUGUUCAUGCUUGUUGUUUCUUUAUCACCAUGUACACUUUCUGAUGUAUUUAUUUGGUGAAGUUUUAUUUACAGCCCCCCACCCUUAUAUAAAUGUUUGUUAAUUAUGCUUACAUGAUUUUUGACCAAGAUGAAUCGUGAAUAAUAUAAUUACCGUUUUGUUUUCAAUGGAUACAAUCCUAUUAAGAAACAAAAUAAAGAUGAACUGUCCUUUCUGAGGUGUCCACUUUGACCAGAGCCAGACUUAUGUUGUGAGAUGUACAGUAUAAUGAAGCUACAGUCUGUAUUGACUUCAAUCACAUCUCAUUAAAUGAAUGCAUGUUGUGUA